rnacentral:rRNA from 1 species
UGACACUUGAACGCUGGCGGCAGGCCUAACACAUGCAAGUCGAGCGGUAACACAAGGGAGCUUGCUCCUGAGGUGACGAGCGGCGGACGGGUGAGUAAUGCCUAGGGAUCUGCCCAGUCGAGGGGGAUAACAGUUGGAAACGACUGCUAAUACCGCAUACGCCCUACGGGGGAAAGGAGGGGACCUUCGGGCCUUUCGCGAUUGGAUGAACCUAGGUGGGAUUAGCUAGUUGGUGAGGUAAUGGCUCACCAAGGCGACGAUCCCUAGCUGUUCUGAGAGGAUGAUCAGCCACACUGGGACUGAGACACGGCCCAGACUCCUACGGGAGGCAGCAGUGGGGAAUAUUGCACAAUGGGCGAAAGCCUGAUGCAGCCAUGCCGCGUGUGUGAAGAAGGCCUUAGGGUUGUAAAGCACUUUCAGUAGGGAGGAAAGGCAGUUGUUUAAUAAACAACUGCUGUGACGUUACCUACAGAAGAAGGACCGGCUAACUUCGUGCCAGCAGCCGCGGUAAUACGAGGGGUCCAAGCGUUAAUCGGAAUUACUGGGCGUAAAGCGUACGCAGGCGGUUCAUUAAGCUAGAUGUGAAAUCCCCGGGCUCAACCUGGGAAUUGCAUUUA